rnacentral:lncRNA from 1 species
UUCUGAUGAAGACUUUUAUGAACUCCUAUUAUGUUGAUCAUUAAAUCUCUCCUUGGUUAAAUCAGUUCAAGUCAUGCAUCUAGGAAAAUCCAAACUACCUCCCAUGCACAUCCGGUGUAGGAAAUUCUUCUCUCUUCUCUUUUUCUUUCUUUAGUGACAGCUUAAACUUCAAGCCAAAAUAACUCCUUUAAUCUUGAUUAUGCUACCCAUGCAGUCUAGUUUCUUUCUUUAUCUUCUUUACCUCUCUUGUAACUU